rnacentral:rRNA from 1 species
CUACGGGAGGCAGCAGUGGGGAAUCUUCCGCAAUGGACGAAAGUCUGACGGAGCAACGCCGCGUGAGGGACGAAGGCUUUCGGGUUGUAAACCUCUGUCUUCAGGGAAGAAAAAAAUGACGGUACCUGAGGAGGAAGCCCCGGCUAACUACGUGCCAGCAGCCGCGGUAAUACGUAGGGGGCGAGCGUUAUCCGGAAUUAUUGGGCGUAAAGGGCGUGUAGGCGGGUAUUUAAGUCAGAUGUGAAAACCCAGGGCUCAACUUUGGGAGUGCAUCUGAUACUGGGUACCUUGAGGGCAGGAGAGGAAAGUGGAAUUCCUAGUGUAGCGGUGAAAUGCGUAGAUAUUAGGAGGAACACCAGUGGCGAAGGCGACUUUCUGGACUGCAACUGACGCUGAGGCGCGAAAGCGUGGGGAGCAAACAGGAUUAGAUACCCCGGUAGU